UGCGGGGUGGAGCAGUUGGUAGCUCGUCGGGCUCAUAACCCGAAGGUUCACAGGUUCGAAUCCUGUACCCGCUAC
rnacentral:tRNA from 1 species